rnacentral:rRNA from 1 species
AUUGAACGCUGGCGGCAGGCUUAACACAUGCAAGUCGAGCGGGGAAGGGUAGCUUGCUACCUGACCUAGCGGCGGACGGGUGAGUAAUGCUUAGGAAUCUGCCUAUUAGUGGGGGACAACAUUCCGAAAGGAAUGCUAAUACCGCAUACGCCCUACGGGGGAAAGCAGGGGAUCUUCGGACCUUGCGCUAAUAGAUGAGCCUAAGUCAGAUUAGCUAGUUGGUGGGGUAAAGGCCUACCAAGGCGACGAUCUGUAGCGGGUCUGAGAGGAUGAUCCGCCACACUGGGACUGAGACACGGCCCAGACUCCUACGGGAGGCAGCAGUGGGGAAUAUUGGACAAUGGGCGGAAGCCUGAUCCAGCCAUGCCGCGUGUGUGAAGAAGGCCUUUUGGUUGUAAAGCACUUUAAGCGAGGAGGAGGCUACUUGGAUUAAUACUCUAGGGUAGUGGACGUUACUCGCAGAAUAAGCACCGGCUAACUCUGUGCCAGCAGCCGCGGUAACAC